UACGUAGGGGGCAAGCGUUGUCCGGAUUUAUUGGGCGUAAAGAGCGUGUAGGCGGCCAAACAGGUCAGCUGUGAAAACUCGAGGCUCAACCUCGAGACGUCGGUUGAAACCACCUGGCUAGAGUCCGGAAGAGGAGUGUGGAAUUCCCGGUGUAGCGGUGGAAUGCGCAGAUAUCGGGAGGAACACCCGUGGCGAAGGCGGGUCUCUGGGCCAUAACUGACGCUGAGGAGCGAAAGCGUGGGGAGCGAACAGG
rnacentral:rRNA from 1 species